CCAGCAAAGAAAGAGAAGGCGGACUGACAAGCCACACAAAACUGUGGCAACUGUUGACCAACCCCUGAACAUACAGGAGGCAUGUAUUUGUUAUUACUCAAUUUAUAAAAUGCAAGGGAAUCAUUAUAACCACAAGAAGUUCAGAUUAUGUUUUGUUCAUGUAUAGCUUCCUCCGCUGGUCCUUCGUGAAAUCUUCCUGGAGGUUGUGCUUCAAGAUGGUGAUGUUGCAAUUGGCUCCCUUGCCCUCACCUGCAGGUGCUUCAACAGCAUUGUGAGCAUGGAAAGUUUCCGCCGAGAGGCUCACUUUCGGUGGUUGGACAGUGUCGUGAACUGGAAGGCAUUCAGUGAAAAUGUCAGAAACCUGUACAGGGUUCCAUACAGUCUAUCCAGAUGUCUCCAUUUUGAUACUACAUACAAAGACUGUGGCGAAGGCUACAGAGGAAGAGGGCAAAGAGGUGUGUUGCAGGGGUUCUAUGGCUCUGAUGACUCCCCAGGAUACUGC